CUCACUCCAAUCUCACGUUUUCAACUUUCCACACUUUCCCAUCUCUUUUCUCUCUUUCCCAUAAUCCUUCUAGCUUCUGGCUUCUUCUUCUCCUCCACAUAAACAAGCACCUUUUGUAUUACAAUGAAAAAAAAUCAUAUUCCAAAAAGAAAAGAAAAAAAUACAAGUGGACAUUGUAUCAAAUUUGCUCAAGGCUUAUAGAAUAAACCUUCAUUUAUUAAAAUAUCAACAAACACAGGCGACACUUUCUCAGAGUCUCUGUAUUUUAUUGUUCAACAAAUUCAACAUCAUUUAAUGUGUUCUUCCUUCCCCUUUUUCAUCUCAAUAUAUCUAUACUCUUUUAUUGUUCAACAAAUUCAUCAUCUUUGAAGUGUUCUUCCAUUCUCUCUUUCCAUGUUUAUUUUUUUCAUCUCAGUCGCAAAAUCAACCACCCAGAAGAAGAAAAAAACUCAUCUUUGUUUUUUAGGCUUUGAAGAAUCCGAAAAAACCGUCCGAGUAAACCGUCAACCGACAAAACCGAUACCGAAGUUAACCGUUAGCUUAAACGGACGGAAAUGGGUGAUAUAUUCCCACCCGCGGUUUGCCUUCGGAUUGAGGUUUUUCACCCAAAAUCCGACCGAACCGACCGUUUGUCCAGCCCUACCGUGAAGCACUAUUUCAAGACCAUAUAACUAAGCUAGUUUUUUUACUUAGGCACUCUUCAAUUAUCCACCUUAUACUGAAUUGUUCAUAGCUUAUAAUUUAUAUGAUUGCAAUAAACUUAUUUGAUAAAAUAAAAUUGGCAAAAAGGAAAAAAAGGUAAGAAAAUUCUACAUUCGCUUAACGUGGUCUAUAGUUUUCAGAACAUUUCAAAUGACCAUUCUUUCUUACUUUAGUAUGAAGUUUGUUGAUUGUAACCAUCUUAGUUUUUUGUUUACAUUUUUUUUAGUCGUGUUAAAUGUAGUGCUGAUGUAGCUACUCAUUUUUUAGUCAAAUAUAGUUUAGAUUGAGAGUUGUCUUCAUUGUAUUACUUCUUCUCUUGUUGCAGCUGAUUUAGUUGCUUGAUAAAAAAUGUAUUCCCGUCAAAAAAAUUGUGGAAAUAUUCGUGUUUUAAACCUCCAGCUUAAAGUAUUGGGGUAAUAUUUACAUAUGGAUACUUCUAUAUAUUUGUAGAAACAAAACGUGUAAUUUGUAACAAUUGUAGUUAAUUUGGGUCGAAUUUUUUUUUCUUUCAAAAUAUGUACAUAAUAGCUUUUCCUAUAUGCGAAGAAAGUGAAAACGUAUAAAAACCAAGACUACUCUCAAAAUAUUAUUGGUUUUGGUAGUUGAACAUCACAUACAUUAUUGCUUUUGAGAGUGAUGUGGAUUGAUGAUUUCAAAUGGGUGCGACCAAUACCUAACCCCAGUGAUGUGACCAGCUAAAUGUAUAUUGAAGUAUAUAUGCGAUUUUAUAGCAUCAAGUUUUCAUAAAAAAAAAUAAAAAAAAAAAAAAUAAUAAAAAAAAAUGAUAUUUGUAUCUAUUCAUUUGAUUUCAAAGCUUUGUGUUACUCUGAUUAGCCAAUCGCAAACAAUGGUGGAGUUUGAUGAAUCUCUUACUGAAAUGACAGAUCUUGAUAACCCCAUUCAUACCAACUGUGAAAUCCAGCAUGUCAAAGACUCAAAUUUUUGAUUUUCAACCCCUCUCAAACAUUCUUCAGACUUUCAAUCAAACUAUAGGGUGGUGUGUUUAAUUAAUUUUACUCGAGGAGAAAAAUCAUAUGUUGAAGAAGGUGGUUCACUAUUUUUGUUCGUAUUAUAAUUUUUAAAUAACAUCAUGUUAUUCGAACCCAGAUGUGAGAAAGGAAUGAAGAUGAAAAGAGAGGAGGCAGAAGUUAAUUAAAAUACUGAUAGUACAUGAUAAAGGUUUAUGUGACGUUGCCAUCUAGCUGUCUAUCAAACUCUCGCACCGUGCGAGACCUAAUAAGCUUGCGCACGCUAGCAUCCGCCGUUAUUGAUACACUAUUUUC
rnacentral:lncRNA from 1 species